GUAGGUGAACCUGCGGAAGGAUCAUUAGCACUAUAAACGUCGAGUUCACGCUCUUCGUUUAUUAACCAACGCGAUCUCUUUUGGGUUCUUUGUGGGUGUAGAUCUGACUCUUGUGUCUGACUAUGCUUGAUGAACAUAAUGAGUAAAAGCCAUUGUAGUCCGGUUGCCAGCUGGAAACAGCUGCAGGUUGUGACUCUGGUGAUAUGAACAAUAUCCUCGUUAUUGGAUUCGCAUAUGCAACCAAGGGGCA
rnacentral:misc_RNA from 1 species